AAACAUUUCAAAUAGAUCAAAUGGCCAGGAUGUGUCGCACCUCGAAAAAAAUGCGAUCCCUCACGAUGGACGCGGAAAAAUGUAGUUCGAACAGAGUCGCCACCAACUUUAUUCAUUCCAAUGAAGGAAUAGCAAAAUAUCGAUAAAACCUUUAAGAAAAUAGAAUAAUGGUCGUCGCAACCAUAUUCGGGUUCGGGAGUGGAUUAUGCAAGGGGAAGGUAUUAGCACCCCUCACGUCCGUUGUACUCAACGGGAACCUUUUAGUUCAAUUUUGCGAUUUGAGUGUUAACUGAAUGUUGUUUGUUUU
rnacentral:lncRNA from 1 species